UUUAAUAAAUAUAUUUCCCUAAAGAUGUUGUGUUUAUAUGCUACAGUGUUAUUUUUUCAUGUUUUAACUAAUGUUUCCAAAACCUUGGAUAAAAUGUGGAGUCGUGAAUAUUAAUUUAUCAACUAAAGAAAAAUUAAAUGAUUUAUAAUGUUAUGUGCCCAGCCUCAGUUUCCUUUCUGUAGUUACGGUGAUGGUGGAAUUUGAAGACUGCUAUAGCAUCAGAAUUGUGUUCCAUUUGAAUUUAUACAAAGUUGAAGGUUUUCACAAUUAAGAUAACCAUUUCCUCCAAAUGGCAAUACUAAAUUAAAUGAUGUACAAUCAUGGCGUCAAUUACCCAGUCCUCUGCCAGAAAAAAAAAACAAAAAUUCCCUGAGAUCACCAAGGCAGCCUUGUGGGAAGUAGCCAUGCUCACCUAGAACAUUCGAACACUUAAAACAUGCAGCACAGAUCAAAAGGGAUAUUUUAGGAUGAACUUCAGCAGACCUCUGGGUCCUUCAGUGCUUUCUUUGUACCCAGUGAACUCGCAAGAGACUUUUACAUUGAAUUCUUGGAAAUCAGUUACAGGGAUACACAGAACGUGCUUCUAUCAGUCUUUCCUUACAGCAACUGACCGUGUAUUUGCUUGACAGCAAAUACGAAGCUGGCCUGCUGGCUCAGAGGGGCUCCUCUGUCACACACGCAGGGGACACACGCGAAGAGAAGAACCACAUGGGUGUGACAAGCAAGCCAUGAUUUCAUGGGCAUCCACUUUUGCAGUUUCUGUUUUAAAAGUUAUGGCCACAACCAGAGUGGUAUGUUCCUCAACGGACAUGUUUUGAGCAGCCCAGAAGGGUCAGGGACAGGAGAGGGGUGGGACCUCAAGGAAGAUGACCAUGAGCAUCAACCCCGGGGCAAGCCUAGCCUCUCCCCCGAGCUAUGGACUGCUGGGGCGGAACGCGGGUGGGCUCCAACACGCAAGUCCACAUGGAACGCUUGUUCCCACACAAACAACUCUGGGACCAGUAACGAGGGUGGGGUUAGGUUGCACGUCUUUACACGUGUCUACAGCAGUGUCCUUGAACGCCGGACUACGCCAUCCGGACUCUACCACAGGAAGCAAGUGGCGCAGACACCACCCGGCACAAGCUGA
rnacentral:lncRNA from 1 species